GACGAACGCUGGCGGCGUGCUUAACACAUGCAAGUCGAACGGAAAGGCCCUGCUUUUGUGGGGUGCUCGAGUGGCGAACGGGUGAGUAACACGUGAGUAACCUGCCCUUGACCUUGGGAUAACUUCAGGAAACUGGGGCUAAUACCGGAUAGGAGCUCCUGCUGCAUGGUGGGGGUUGGAAAGUUUCGGCGGUUGGGGAUGGACUCGCGGCUUAUCAGCUUGUUGGUGGGGUAGUGGCUUACCAAGGCUUUGACGGGUAGCCGGCCUGAGAGGGUGACCGGCCACAUUGGGACUGAGAUACGGCCCAGACUCCUACGGGAGGCAGCAGUGGGGAAUAUUGCACAAUGGGCGGAAGCCUGAUGCAGCAACGCCGCGUGCGGGAUGAUGGCCUUCGGGUUGUAAACCGCUUUCGCCUGUGACGAAGCGUGAGUGACGGUAAUGGGUAAAGAAGCACCGGCUAACUACGUG
rnacentral:rRNA from 1 species